rnacentral:lncRNA from 1 species
GAUUGACCGGAGAGUGACGAGUAGAUCUAUCAAGAGUUUUGAGUGCGAAUCAUCUUCAUCAACAUUGCAGGCAAGUUCACACUUUGAUCAUAUCUCUUUCAUACCCAGUUUUUAUUGCAUUAGAUCAAUCCUCAAACAUUGCAUGAUUAGGAUCUAAUUAAAUUGUGGGAACUGGGAAGUAGUUGAGUUAGUACCUAUUACCUGUUUUAAUUAUCAAACCCUUGGGAGUUAGUUCUACGUUGCUAUUACAUUGCCAUGCUAUGCUCGUAGACGUGGAUUGGGUUGAAGUGAUAUUCAUGACAGAUGUGAGAUUGAUAAUAAUGGUUUACUUAAGGUGGCAACUAAAACUCACAUCUGGAUGGAUUGAGGCACCUGGAGAACCCAGUGUUGCCUGUUUGUAUAAGGACCGCCACCCAGGCUCAAAGGGAUCAUAAGAUUAUUCAUGCUAGAAACUUCCGUGUGCAGCCGCAAGCUAUUAUGGGCUCUAGCAUAGUCGAGUAAGUUGUGGGAAACCUUUCCAUGAUGGGCUAGCAGAUGUAGGGGAUUGUAGGUGUACCGGCCUAUCUAUCGGUUAAGGGGACCUCUUCGGAAAGACUGUGUCUCGGUCAUCCGUUUCUGAAACAUCAUGCAGUGCGAGAAAUCCAACGGAGGAGAUCGAGUCUUGUGGGAAAAGUGCACAAACCUCUGCAGAGUGUUGAUGGGAUUCCACAAUCUUACGACGAGUAAGUGAUACGUUAGGGUUACGAUUUCUACACUCAACCUUGCCGUUGGUGUUGAUGGGAAUCCACAACCUUGUUACUUCCGCUAAUUGGAUUGAGGUAAUGGUAUUUACGUUACUUUAUACAUGUGAUUUACCUCUGUUAUAAAUCCUCGAGUGCUGUGUGUGUCAGCAUACCGAUCCAGGGAUGACACUUAAGCACAGAGACUUGAUCCAUUCGGGUCGGGUCGCUACAAUUAACCAAGUGAAUCAUUAUUGCAAAAUCAUACUAGAAAUGCAGUGAUCAUGAUCUCGUGACUCAAGUCCCUCGGACUUGCUUACCAAACGGUGAUCUCUCUCGGAUCACAAGCGGACCAACAUCUUGGCCUUUAAUCGGGUUACCUCGUAACCGAACGGUGAUCUUUUUCGGAUCACAAACUGACCAACAACUUGGUCCUUAAUCGGGUUACCUUGUAACCAAACGGUGAUCUUUCUUGGAUCACAGACGGACCAACGACUUGGUCUCCAUCAACCAACUGGUUUCUCAACCAUCCUCUUUCCAAUAGUGCAAAGUUAUUAUCUUAGUGUGCAAAAUUAUUUAAAUGUUGACCCAUGGUGUGACCUACUUUCGAGCAUGUCUGUAACCAUGGACUCGGCUAUCGAUAGAUUAAAUACACUCUGCAGAGGUAGCACAUUGUACCCACACCACGGAACCCAUGGCCUCGCACUCCCAUUCGGGUGGACCAACGACAUUCCGACAGAACCCCUCCAUUGCCAUGACACUCUCCCGGCCACUCCGACUCCCCACUGGGCUAAGUCCUGGGUGGCCCCGUGUCUACCAAAGACACCAACGGCCACGAUCGUGGCAAAAGGCCACCAUCGUGGCAAAACAUAAACGGUCCCAAACGGGGACAAGCUACCAUAACAACAACGGGCGCACAAGGUUAUGUCUGCUUACCGGGCCAGGGUAACACACGCCCAUAACCUUCCCUCGUUGGAGGAACCGACCAGAGGCAUGACAACGGACUGAAUAAUGGCCUCCCCUUAAAGGCAAAUGUGGUUGCACUAGGAAAAACUCGAAUCAGUGGCACCAUGGCCUGAUCAACGAUAUGUUCAAGUUGAGUCAUUAUCAGGUUCAACGUAAAGUAAAAUUAAUCGGUGUCAUGAUAUGCCAUGCAAAUGCAAUCAUAAAACAAGCAUCACUUAUCAUUUGAACAAUAACAGGUCAACUAUAUCAAGCACUAACCAUACAUAUCAGAAACUCAUAACACUUUUCUAGUUAUGAUUAUUCAGCAAACUAACCAUGACAAUAUCUUAGCAUAAUUCUUUUCUCACUCGAGAAAAUAUUAAGCCAACUAAUUAUUUUCAUAAAAAAAUUACUUCUUCCUAAUCAAAUAUAACUUCUAGUGACUUAAACUAACUUAGUUAGCCUUAAUGUUCUGUAACAAACAUAUCAACACAAACAAGCAUUCAACAGAAUAAAUGUAUAUUUAUUUUAGUGAUUUAAAUGCAUGAACUAAAUUAUUCACUCAAGUAGAAGAAUCACAAAUAUUGUAAUGGCACCAUGAAAACGUUGUUGUGGCUUGCCUUAGUGCACGUGAGGUUCAGACUCCUCCUGGUGAUCCUCAAGACAAGCUUCACCUUCUGAAAACAAUUAUAAACAUAAAAAGAAAACAUCAAGAAACACUCUGAAAUUCACAAGAAAAUCUAGACAGCAGAGAAAAAUCUCAUUUUUGGUGUGCUGCUAGAUAUUUUCAAAAAGAACACAAUGCAAAAAGAAUCAAUUCAUUUGGACUUAUGGUUAAAGAGUUGUGGUUGUUUAAAGCUCUCUGCUUAAAUUUAAAUUUGAUUUAAAUAAAAACUGAUCUGGGGGGGUUAUCGUCGAAGACGUAAACCCGCGGGGCGCCUCCAUCAUACCGUUUCGGGCGUGGCCAGAGUGGCUGACAGCGGGCCCCGCUAGUCAUGUGAGAGGGAGGGGAGAAGGAAACAGAGCACGGCGGGGCUCCGCCGGAGCACACGCCAGCGAGGAGGGCAUCUUGGCCCGAGCUAGAGGGAUAGAUCGAUGGAGAAGACUGAGGCGCACCUGCCCAUACCCGUAGAUUAGCUAGGGGUGGUUGGACGGCGUCGGAAAGUACCUCUCAAGUGGCGGCAGAGAGCGAAGGUCGCCGGAGUUGGGGAUGACGGCGACCAGAGGCUGCACUAGUGGCUCCAACAAUGCCGGACGGCACCACUGAAGCACGGCGGAGGCUCUGGAAGAGUGGCCCGAGCCUAGGAGGGGAUGGAGCUGUGGAGACGACCCGAGGGGAUCGCCGGCGAGCUCGAGCUCGAGGACGGCGACCCGAGGUCUGCCCGGCUGGGCUACGGCUUCCUACGGUCUUAUGGAGUGUGUGUGGUGAGUUGGUGAUGCUCGAGAGAGCUGGGGAGGACAGCAUUUAUAGGCGAGCAAGAGGAGGGGAUCGGGCUCCGCCAGAGGACACCUGGACACGGCGCCCGACGACGAUCGACAUCAGUGAGUGAGGGGGAAGGCGACGCAGCUCACGCAGGCACUGUGGGUGGGCGGCGACGAGCACAAGAUCGAGGGGGGUGGUGAUGAACACAGUGCGCGGCGCACUAUGCGGUUGGCCGGACCGCGCCCGUGCUCGCUGCGGUGAGGUCCGGCGUCAGCGAGCGCCAGGAGGGAGUUAAGGGAGUAGAGUCGGGGAUGGUGGCGAGGUUUGGCAAGGUGCGGCAGCCUGGGAAGUGAGCACGCCACGCACAGAGCGCUCGGCGGCACCCACAGCGUCGGUUAGCCGGCUGGCACCGUGCACAUGCGUGGCCACCGCGUGCACUUCGGCAUAGCGGCAUGGUUGGCCCCAAUUUCAUGUCUGGCGUGUAGUCCUUAGGGUUUAGGGUUGAUCCAAUGCUUUGAGUCGAGCACAGGUGCUGUAAGAUUGAGUGUUACUUCAUGGUAAGUUUCUGAACAGUAACUCUGAGAGUUAACUGUGGCCAAUAUACUGGGAGUUGGGUGCUGAGCUUUGGAGGUUAGCAAUCAUCUAGGAAGGUAGUGAUGCACAAGAAAUUUCAGCAGCAUUGGAGCAAGUAAAAUUGUAGUUGCUGUAGAAACUACCAUUUCUGUCCAGAACAGAAAAUAUUGUCUAUAGCAAAAAUAUUCCUAAAAGUGAUGCAAUAUUUUUGCUCAGGAAGGAGCCCUAGUGUCGAAAGAAUAUUUGGGAAUUUUCUCAGAUUUCUUUGGGCAAGAAAAAUUGGGGUUGCUUUGGAGCACAAGUGGCUGGUUAGGGUUUUAGAGGAGAAAAUGAAUAUUUUUUAUUUAAGAAAAAUAUUCAUAAUAUUAUUUUGAGCUUGACCAGAGAAGAAAUGAUGGCUAGAGAGAGAAAUGAGUCACUUGGGUGAAAGUCAAGGUGGUACCCAAGUGUUUAAGUCCAACUGAAGUGAUUCAAAACUCCAAAUUCAAAUCAAAAACCAAAUAAAAAUCAAAAAAGAAGAGAGGGCAAAAACCAGGCUGUCACAAACCUCCCCCACUUAGGAUGAAUCUCAUCCUCGAGAUUCGGUUGCUCGGGAAAACAAUUCUGGAUAGUUUGCCUUUAGAAACUCUUCCCGUUCCCAAGUUCCUUCUUCCUCUGUGUGAUGCUCCCACUGAACCUUGAAAUUUUUCUCGUUUUACUACGAGUGACCCUUUCCACCUCAUCCAAAAUCCUGAGCGGUCUGUCUUCAUACGUUAAAUCCUUAGCCAACUCUAGUUCUGCCAUAGCAGUCUUUUCUCGGGCGAUGAUAUACAUCGUCUCAACUGGGAGACAUGGAACACAUUGUGCACUUCGGACAAUUCUGGGGGCAGUUCCAACUGAUAUGCAACAGUACCCACUCUGGACAUAACUGGGAACGGACCAAUAAACCUAGGUGCCAAUUUUCCGCGAGUCUGAAACCUUUUGAUUCCCUUCAUAGGAGUGACUCAGAGGUAUACAUGCUCUCCGGGUUCAAAACUGACCUGUUGGUGCUUUGCAUCAUAGUAACUCUUUUGUCAGGAUUUGGCUAAUUGCAAUCGGUCUCAGAUUUCCCUGACUUGCUUUUCAGCUUCCAUCAUGAGAUCUGUUCCGAAAAUGCGGCUAUCUCCGGUUUGAGACCAAUUCAACGGAGUGCGGCACUUAUGGCCAUACAGAGCCUCAUAAUGUGACAUCUUUAAACUGGCCUGGAAACUGUUGUUUUAGGAGAACUCGGCAUACGGCAGACAGUCUUCCCAUUUAGGCCCUUGGGCUAAGGCACAUGCUCGAAGCAUAUCUUCGAGUAUUUGGUUUACCCUCUCAGUCUGUCCAUCAGUCUGAGGUCGAUAAGCGGUACUAUAUUUUAGCGUUGUUCCCAAAGCUUGAUGCAGACGUGACCAAAAAGCGGAGGUAAAUAGUGACCCCCGGUCAGAAGUGAUUGUUCGAGGUACUCCAUGCAGACUGACUAUUCUGGACACAUACAAUUGUGUGAGCUGAUCGGCUCGGUAUGUGGUUCUGAUGGGAAUAAAAUGAGCUACCUUGGUUAAGGUGUCAACUAUGACCCAUACUGCGUCAUUGCCUUGCUGAGUCUUCGGUAGCCCUGUGAUAAAUUCCUUGCAGAUAUCAUCCCACUUCCAUUGUUGAACGGGUAACGGUUGGAGGAGUCCGGCUGGUUUCUUGUGUUCUGGCUUCACUUUGUUGCAUAUGACGCAACAGGCCACAAAAUAGGCAAUGUCUUUCUUCAUCCCAUCCCAUCAGAAUAUUUUUUGAAGGUCCUCGUACAUUUUAGUACCUCCGGGGUGAAUAGAAUACGAAGAUUUGUGUGCUUCUGACAGUAUUCUCUUCCUUAAAUCUUCUUGCCUGGGUACACAAAUCCUUCCAUGGAAUCGCAGUGUACCUUGUUGAUCCUUAGAAAAAUCUGAGGUCUGUCCUGCUAACAUACGCCUGGCAUGUUUCUGUAGGACUGUGUCAUUUGGCUGGGCCUUGCAGAUCUCUUCCUCGAGGGUAGGAGUAACUUCCAUAAUAUUAGCAAGACCAGCACCACCUAUGACCAGAUUGAACUGAGCAAUCUCUUCUUGGAGUUCAGGAGGCAAGGAUUCCAUCAUGGUAUUCAGACUAACAGGCUUUUGGCUGAGUGCAUCGGCAACCACGCUGGCCUUACCCCGGGUGGUAAUUUAUUCCAAGAUCAUAGUCAUUGACUAACUCGAGCCACCUCCAUUGGCGGAGAUUCAGAUCUGGCUGAGUGAAUAUGUAUUUGAGACUUUUGUGGUCGGUAAUGAUUUGGCACCUUUUUCCAAUGAGAUAGUGUCACCAAAUUUUUAGAGCAUGAACCACCAUGGCCAAUUCCAUAUCAUGAGUAGGAUAGUUCCCCUCGUGGGGUCAUAGCUGUCAAGAUGCAUAUGCUACCACCGUGCCAUCUUUCAUAAGUACGCAUCCAAGACCUUGUCUAGAGGCAUCACAGUACACAUCAAAGCUGCGGUAGAUGUCUGGAAGAGUCAACACAGGUGCUGUUGUCAGUCUGGUUUUCAGCUCAUUGAAACUUUUCUCGCAAUCCUCGUUCCAUUAAAAUUUCUUAUCUUUCUUGAGAAGCUCUGUCAUUGGCUUGGCAAUCUUAGAGAAACCUUCAAUAAAACGGCGAUAGUAUCCAGCUAAUCCAAGGAAACUCCGGAUUUGAAAUACUGUCGUGGGUGCCAACCAAUCAAGCAUGUCCUUUACCUUGCUUGGAUCUACGGCUAUACCUUCUGCGGACAGUAUAUGCCCAAGAAAUCCAACAUGCUUGAGCCACGAUUUGCAUUUACUGAAUUUAGCGUACAGUUGAUGGUCACGAAGUCUUUGUAGGACAGCUCUAAGGUGUCCUUUGUCCUCUUCUUCAAUUUUUGAGUAUAUGAGAAUAUCAUCGAUGAAAACCACCACAAAUUUAUCGAGGAAGUCUAUGAAUACUUUAUUCAUCAUAUGCAUGAAGAAAGCAGGGGCAUUGGUAAGUCCGAAGGAACUAACAGUAUAUUCAUAAAGACCGUACCGAGUAGUGAACGCGGUCUUAGGAAUAUCUUCCUUUUUAAUUUUGAGUUGGUGGUAUCCUGUCCUUAAAUCAAUUUUGGAGAAUACUUUUGCCCCACUGAGCUGAUCAAAUAAGUCAUCAAUCCUGGGCAGUGGAUAUUUGUUUUUGAUGGUGACAUCAUUCAGCUGACAGUAAUCCACACACAUACGGAGACUACCAUCUUUCUUAUCCACGAAUAUAGCAGGUGAUCCCCAUGGUGAAGAGCUGGGGCGGAUAUAACCUUUCUGGAGCAUCUCAUCAAGCUAUUUCUUUAGCUCCACUAAUUCUGACGAAGGCAUCCGAUAACAUUUCUUAUAUAACGGUGCGGUUCCGGGCACAAGAUCUAUUGCAAACUCAAGCUCUCAGUCUUGCGGCAUGCCUGGUAGUUCUUCUAGGAAUACAUCGGGAAACUCACCGACCACAGGAAUUAAUUCCAAUUCACCAGCCACAACGGUGAAGACUAUUUCUUUCUUGGGUAUGCUUCUGCAGGCAUAGAAUUUUGUAGUCUGCCCCCUCUUGGCUUGUCAAGGUGACUUCUCGGGUCAUGCAAUUAAUGCAUACUUGAUAUUGGGUUAACCAAUUCAUCCCCAAAAUAAUGUCCACCUUGACAGACUCAAUGACUAUCAAAGAAGUUGGAAAACAGACUCCGUUGAUACCGAUUUCCAGAUUACAGCAAACCAGAUUGCUUCUGAGGAAAGAUCCCGGGGAUUGUAGCAGCAUAUUCUUGCUCAAAAUCGAACAAGGAAAUUUGUUUUGGGCAGCAAAACUCCGCGAAAUAAAAGAGUGGGAAGCCCUAGAGUCAAAUAAAAUUAUGGCAGGUAUGCUAUUAACAUAAAACAUACCAAUGACAACCUCGGGGUUUUCUUGGGCUUCGUCUGUGAAGAGGUGAUGGACUUGCCCGGUGAUGUUUUUCUGGACAGGGUAUGGCCCCAUAAAGUUGACUUGUGGCCUGAAUGGAGCAUUAGUCUUGCCGUUCUUGGGACAUUGCCUGGCUUAAUGUCCGGUUUGCCCACAACUGAAAGAAGAAUUGUUGUGCUAGCACUCUUCUCGCACCGGGUUGGUCACGACAUUCUUGACUUGUGUAGUGGUUUUGUUAACAUUCUGCUGCCAAUUAGGUUUGUAAUCUACUUGAGUAUACUGCUAGGUACGAGCCUUUUGCGCGGGUUGAACCUCCUUCCUCGGCUCGAACUUGCGCUUGUGAUCAUUAUUUGUCGGCUUGUUGUCGUGUAUCAGCUUGUGCUCUCUUUCAGCAAUGAGGGCCUUGUUCACCAGAGUUGGGAAAUCAGGGAUGUCAAACAUACUGAGGGUGCAUCGGAGAUGCUGGUUUAAUCCCCCAAGAAACCUGUCAAUCUUUCUUUCUUCGGUGACCACAUCAUAGAGGGAGUAACGAGCCAAAUGAUUGAACUUAUGCAAAUAUUCACUCAUAGACUGACUUCCUUGGAUGAGCGUGAGGAAUUCACGCUGCUUGACCUUCAAAAUUCUAGCAAGAAUAUGGUAUUUACGGAACUGGUCCUUGAAUUUUGUCUAGGUGAUUUCUUCAUCAGCAGGCCACAUUGCUUUUGCAUUUCCCCACCAUAUUGCGGCAGCGCCGUCAAGAUAAUGAGUUGCAAACGGGACUUUGUCAUCCUCUUCAGUACGAGCAAUCUCAAGCUUCUUCUCAAUGGUUCGUAACCAGUUGUCUGUGUCCAAGGGAUCAAUAACCUGACUGAAACUAGGAGGCUUGGUUCUGUGAAAAUCUGACCGUUUGGAGUGAUGACUAUUCUGAUUUCCAUUCUGCCCAACCAUAGGUUGCACACUCCUUAAUAUUUCAGUCAGAUCAUUAUUCCUCCUUUCCUCAAACUUACGUAGAAUUUGCUCGGUGGAGGGCGGAUUUGGCGGUGGAGGCGGUGGUGGAAUGUACGGCUCGGGGGAGUGUCCUGCUUGUCAUGCGGAACGACGAAUAGGGACAUCCUCACAAGCGUCGCUACUGCUGCCUCCCCGCGUCAUCCUAUUGUUUUUUUCAAGACAACGCAACCGAGAUGGGCAACAUCCAAAAAUAUAGUGGGGAAAAGCCAACGACAAAAACCCGAAAGAAAACGAAAUAACGAAGGAAACACGUCGAAUAAGAAAGUUCCAACAUAAUUAUACAUAGACUUGUACAUAAAAGAUAAAUGACAUGAUAAGUUCAACUAGUCUCAUACAUGAAACGGAACAUCAUGACUUGUAUGACUACAUCCGUACAUCCACCUUACAACUGCGGAUACUCGAGCGCUCUAGUGCUCUGCUGGUGCUGUGGGGUCCUCUCCUGAAGCGAACUCGGAUCCUGAACUGACCAGGUUAACCGAGACCUCCGGGUUAAAGGUAACACGACGACGCUGCCUCGAGGACUCUCCCUCCAGAGCAGGUGCAGGGUAGGGCUGAAGCAUCGGGGCUACGGGGGUAGUGAGAAGAGAAACCCACUCAGCAGGAGCACUAAGAGGAUUCACGGUCGAGGUGCCCGAGCUACUCGUAGGAGUAACAAGUGAAAGAGGUGAAAUAGAACUAGAUGGAAUAUAAGGAGUAAAUCCCGUAGACGAUGGAGUAGUGAAAGCUCUAGUAGCAGCUAAAGCAGUACGAGCAUGAGUCAGCUCUCGAGCCAGCUCGUGAAUCAGAAGGUAGCUAGCAGUGAUGUAGCGAGAAAGGUGGCAUGCAGUACUAUCGGACUCCGGAUCAAUGAUAGGAAAACGGAAACGGCCAUUGUCGUGCAAGGAGGCAUAGUAAUGGAAGCCUGGAUGGUUCUACAUUCGGACCUCGUUAUAGCGCAGCUCGUCGAGGACCUCAAAUGCAGCAAACUGGACAGCCUGAGAAGUGGUAGAAGCGAAACCGCUCCUGGAGGUACGAAUGUAAGUGCUGGACGAUGAACUGGUGCGCAGAGUAACCAAUGCGUGAUACUCAUACACUGAGUCUACUAGACGCUCCCGGUACACACGAUAGACUGGGUCAUCACCGAGAGGGUACAGCCGACGCCACAUGUUACGAAGGAGAUGCGGCGAGGUGUACGUCAUCAGCUGCAACUGGCAUGGAUAUGGCACCGGGUCCAUCUACACUCACAGCCAUUAAUAAAUUAGAAUAAAAAUAAACGAGUGUAUGCAAUGCAACAAUCAGCUACAAACGUUACCGGCACUCAACUUUUACUCUAGCUAACGUCCAGGAACACGGCGGUAGCCUCGUGUCCUACAGUCAGCGCGGCUCUGAUACCAGGUGUUGUGGCACCGCGGCUCAGAGCAACCGGUUUACCCAGUAUUGCCAGCCCAGAGACCAUGUCUUCUGGCAACACACAAUAUCUUGGUAUAGAAUACAACCGCUUUAUUGAUGCUAGCGGAACAUGGUUCAUAUUACAACAAGUUGUGUGGCCAAGCGGCACACACGGUGUGGCUGAACAAUAUGUACAUUAUUUAGUGAACAUAAAGGGUCCUCGAUCACAACAACUACACGGCAGCGGAACAACGACGAAGCGGGACUCCAUAGCACAGGGACACCGACGUGGACACGAUCUAGACACGGACAGCACUUCGUUCCAACGAGACUUUCCGGAAAGCUAGCAUGACACGCCAGGUCAGUACAUUGAAUGUACUUGCCAGCUCGCAACAAGCAUAAACAUAAUGACAAACAAUAUCAUGAUAAUUAAUCAAGUGGAUCAUUAUUGCAAAAUCAUACUAGAAAUGCAGUGAUCAUGAUCUCGUUACUCAAGUCCCUCGGACUUGCUUACCAAACGGUGAUCUCUCUCGGAUCACAAGCGGACCAACAUCUUGGCCUUUAAUCGGGUUACCUCGUAACCGAACGGUGAUCUUUCUCGGAUCACAAACUAACCAACAACUUGGUCCUUAGUCGGGUUACCUCGUAACCAAACGGUGAUCUUUCUCGGAUCACAGAUGGAUCAAUGACUUGGUUUCCAUCAACCAACUGGUUUCUCAACCAUCCUCUUUCCAACAGUGCAAAGUUAUUAUCUUAGUGUGCAAAAUUAUUUAAACGUUGACCCAUGGUGUGACCUACUUUCUAGCGUGUCCGUAACUGUGGACUCGGCUAUCGAUAGAUUAAAUACACUUUGUAGAGGUAGCGCACUGUACCCACACCACGGAACCCAUGGCCUCACAUUCCCAUUCGGGUGGACCAACGGCAUUCCGAUCUCCAUUGCCAUGACACUCUCCUGGCCACUCCGUCUCCCCACCGGGCUAAGUCCUGGGUGGCCCCGUGUCUACCAAAGAAACCAACAGCUAACGUCGUGGCAAACGGCCACCAUCGUGGCAAAACAUAAACGGUUCCAAAUGGGACAAGGUACCAUAACAACAACGGUCACACAAGGUUAUGUCUGCUUACCGAGCCAGGGUAACGCACGCCCAUAACCUUCCCUCGUUGGAAGCACCGACCAGAUGCAUGACAGCGGACCGAAUAAAGGCCUUCCCAUAAAGGCAAAUGUGGUUUCACUGGGAAAAACUCAAUUCAGUGGCACCAUGACCCGAUCAACGAUAUGUUCAGGUUGAGUUAUUAUCAGGUUCAACUUAAAGUAAAAGUAAUCGGUGUCAUGAUAUGCCAUGCAAAUGCAAUCAUAAAGCAUGCAUCACUUAUCAUUUGAACAAUAACAGGUCAACUAUAUCAAGCACUAACCAUACAUAUUAGAAACUCAUAACACUUUUCUGGUUAUGAUUAUUCAGCAAACUAACCAUGACAAUAUCUUAGCAUAAUUAUUUUCUCACUCAAGAAAAUAUUAAGCCAACUAAUUGUUUUCAUAAAAAAUUACUUCUUCCUAAUCAAGUAUAACUUCUAGUAACUUAAACUAACUUAGUUAGCCUUAAUGUUCUGUAACAAACAUAUCAACACAAACAACCAUUCAACAGAAUAAAUGUAUAUUUAUUUUAGUGAUUUAAAUGCAUGAACUAAAUUAUUCAUUCAAGUAGAAAAAUCACAAAUAUUGUAAUGGCACCAUGAAAAUGUUGUUGUGGCUUGCCUUAGUGCAGGUGAGGUUCACACUCCUCCUGGUGAUCCUCAAGACAAGCUUCACCUUCUGAAAACAAUUAUAAACAUAAAAGAAAACAUCAAUAAACACUCUGAAAUUCACCAGAAAAUCUAGACAACAGAGAAAAAUCUCAUUUUUGGUGUGCUGCAAGAUAUUUUCAUAAAGAACACAAUGCAAAAAAGAAUCAAUUCAUCUGGACUUAUGGUUAAAGAGUUGUGGCUGUUUAAAGCUCUCUGGUUAAAUUUAAAUUUGAUUUAAAUAAAAACAGAUCUGGGGGGUGACGUCGAAGACGUAAAUCCGCGGGGCGCCUGCACUCGUACCGCUUCAGGCAUGGCUAGAGUGCUGACAGCGGGCCCUGCUAGUCAGGUGAGAGGGAGGGGGAGAAGGAAACAGAGCACGACAGGGCUCCGCCGGAGCACAUGCCGGUGAGGAGGGCAUCUUGGCCCGAGCUAGAGGGAUAGAUCGAAGGAGAAGACUGAGGCGCACCUUCCCGUACCCGUAGAUUAGCUAGGGGUGGUCGGACAGCGUCGGAAAGGACCUUUCCAGCAGCGGACGAGAGCGGAGAUCGCCGGAGUUGGGGAUGACGGUGACCAGAGGCUGCACCAGCGGCUCCAACCGGGUCGGACGACACCACUAAAGCAUGGCGGAGGCUCUGGAAGAGUGGCCCGAGCCUGGGAGGGGCUGAAGCUAUGGAGACGACCCGAGGGGAUCGCCGGCGAGCUCGGGGACGGUGACCCGAGGCCUGCCCAGCAAGGCUACGGCUUCCUACGGUCUUGUGGAGUGUGUGUGGUGAGUUGGUGAUGCUCGAGAGGGCUGGGGAGGACAACAUUUAUAGGCGAGCAAGAGGAGGGGAUCGGGCUCCGCCGGAGGACACCUGGACAUGGCGCCCGACGACGAACGGCGUCAGUGAGCCAGGAGGAAGGCGACGCAGCUCGCGCGGGCACUAUGGGUGGGCGGCGAUGAGCACAGGAUCGAGGGGGAGGCGACGAACAUAGUGCGCGGCGCACUAUGCGGUUGGCCGGACCACGCCCGUGCUCCCUGCAGCGAGCUCCGGCGUCAGCGAGCGCCAGGAGGGAGUUAAGUGAGUACAGACAGGGAUGGUGGCGAGGUUUGGCGAGGUGCGGCAGCCGGGGAAGCGAGCACGCGACGCACAGAGUGCUCAACGGCACCCAGAGCGCGUCGGUUAGGCGGCUGGCACCGUGCACACGCGUGGUCACCGUGUGCACUUUGGCAUGGCGCCACGGCUGGCCCCAAUUUCAUGUCUGGCAUGUAGUCCUUAGUGUUUAGGCUUGAGCCAAUGCUUUGAGUCGAGCUCAGGUGCUUUAAGAUUGAGUGUUACUUGAUGGUAAGUUUCUGAACAGUAACUUUGAGAGUUAACUGUGGCCAAUCUACUAGGAGUUGGGAGGUGAGCUUUGGAGGUUCGCAAUCAUCUAGGAAGGUAGUGAUGCACAAGAAAUUUCAGCAGCAUUGGAGCAAGUAAAAUGGUAGUUGCUGUAGAAACUACCAUUUCUGUCCAGAACAGAAAAUAUUUUUUAUAGCAAAAAUAAUCCAAAAAGUGAUGCAAUAUUUUGCUCAGGAAGGUGCCCUAGUGUCCAAAGAAUAUUUGGGAAUUUUCUUAGAUUUUUGUGGGCAAGAAAAAUUGGGGUUGCUUUGGAGCACAAGUGGCUGGUUAGGGUUUUAGAGGAGAAAAUGAAUAUUUUUCAUUUAAGAAAAAUAUUCAUAAUAUUAUUUUGAGGUUGACCAGAGAAGAAAUGAUGGCUAGAGAGAGAAAUGAGUCACUUGGUUGAAAGUCAAGGUGGUGCCCAAGUGUGUAAGUCCAACUGAAGUGAUUCAAAACUCCAAAUUCAAAUCAAAAACCAAAUAAAAAUCAGAAAAGAAGAGAGGGCAAAAACCAGGCUGUCACACGAAUAAAGUACAUCAUCUAGACCUUCUGGCACGCUUGAUCAUGGCACUGCGGCUGUCUGUGUACUUGUCAGUUACGGGAAGCAGACACACCCUCAUGUCCAAGAUCCGCCUGUACAUAUCGUAGCAUGCGUAUGCGUCCUUGGUCGUGUAGGAUCGAUUCAGAGGUAUCUCCCACAUGUUCAGGUCCUUGGCAUCGACGUCUUCUUUCAUGUUGGCAUAGCAGGGGUCGAGGAUGGUCGGGUGAGGUCAACCACAGAGUCCUUCUCCUGACUGUUGCCGAUGAUCUUGUAUUGCUUCUCGAUGUCGAAAAGCUUCUUGCACCAGAUGGCCGAAUCAUAAAGCAUAGUCGUGUUCUUCAUGAUCUCCACCGUACUGAUGGUGCAGUUGGCGCUGCCGAUGAAACGGGCGAAUGCUUCAGAACCUCUUGUGGCCCUACAGAACUGGUAGAUGAGAACCUCGUCCCGCACGUAUACUUGGGCGACGGCGAUCCACUCGUCCCUGUCAUGAGAUGAAUGGAUGGGCACAAGGUCUAGUCCCGCGACCUUGUGCUUUCUCCUCCUGUAGGUACUGCUUGAGCUUGGCGAGGUAGAGCUUCACCGAGUCAGGAUCAUUGGUGUACAACACAUUCAACUUGGUGCUUCCAUGAGUCUGAAUGGCGAACUCAAAGUUGAACUCCUUGCUGAAGUCCAUAUGCAGCUGUCGCACCCCUCGGAUCGCCAUUAGAGUCUCUUCUCACGCAAAGUUGAUGUGGCAAUUCUCGUUUUGUGGGGAUUGGGGGAAGGGGGAGAGGAAGACGAUCGGUGUGUAAUGGGGUGCUGGGGGCGGCACUGCGGCAACAGCAGUUCGUCUUUUCAAUCUUGGGGAACUACAAUUGACGAUGAACGAGUGGGUAGGCGGCGGAAGCAGUUUGUUUUUCAGCUCUUGGGGAACUGCAUUCAACAGUAAACUGAGUGUGUAUAGUCGACAACAAUGACUACCACUCCCUCGCCCGCCGCACGCCCGGCAGAACAUGCCCCCUCGGGUUCACGAGCAGUUCUGUAUUGGUACUGUAAUAUCAAGUGUUAAUGGCCACUUUACUUAAAUUUUAUUAGCUUUAAUUAAAAUUUAAUCUUAAAACAAGCAAAUCAUUGGCUCGUUCUAUCAAUGUCACAGGAUCAACAUGCACAUCAAUUAGAAUUAUUAUUCUCAGGACGCACACGAUCAGCUCAUUUCCUACACUUUCACACACAAUACUCCCAAGUUUGAACAACUUGUUAAUGUUGUUGUCCUCUACAUCAUCAUGCAGUGUUUCCCAACUUGCAAGAUUCAGAACCAACCAACAAGAUUCAAAUAAUAAGUAAAACAAAGAUGCCUACACAUCUCAAUGAUUCCGAGCUUGCAAGAUUCAGAGCCAACCCAUUAGAUUCAAAUAAUAAGUACAACAAAGAUGCCUACACAUCUCAAUGAUUCACAGAUUAGAGCCAAUCAAACUGUACAACUCAAAUGUUGUGAGAAUGUGAAAAAAUAAAUAAAAUUUGAUCGAUGCUUCAUGUAAGCAAUUUGAUCCAAGGAUUUGCUUAAACAUUGAAACCAGUCCUUUUUAAGAUCAUGCAGGUCAAACGUUGGCAACAGAAAUAUUCUGCAUCACUAGUGGCACUACCAAUUCCAAUAUAUUCACAAGAGGGCCUUCUAGAUUUUGAAGUAGUGUGUAUACAACCUCGUCCUUAGUAUUUAACAAAUACACAUAGCAGAACCUAGUGGAAUCAUCAAUCAACCUCCUGAAAUAAUUCUUUAGACCUUGCACACACGCAUGGCACUUUAGAGCCUUUGGAUAAAUUGAAUCUCAGGAUUAAAUCCAUCUUGGCUAGCCGUGUCAUACAACCCAAGAACUUGGCAAAUGCCUUUGACCAUCACAACAUCUGUAGUUGAGUAUUCAUGUUUGCAUAGAUAAGAAAGAGCAUGAUUACUAUAAUAGUGGCACUAGUUAAAGCAACUUCAUUUCCAAAACAAGAAAAUUGCGAUAGAAUAGCUUUAUUAAAAAAAUACAACAUUAGCACAGUAUGACAAAGCACAAUCAUGUUGAUAUAGGACAAUACUAACCUAUGUGAGAUGACUUUGGGAGAUCAAGUUAUUCUUCAUGUCCCCAUGUCUUGCCAUCAAGGCCAUUGGUUGACAUCAAUUAACACCUUAGUGUGGCAGUAGAAGGAGGGGCGUCGUCUCAUUUCAAUCUCUUUUUUGUGCAGUCAACUAAAUUUAUGGUGCUCGCCAGUUAGAGAGGGGGCCCGUGCCACCUCGAUGGUAGGCAUGAUGGACUCAACUAUUUCAGCGGAUCUAUGUGAUUGAUGAAGUCCGCAUGGACUUGAUUCUGCUGGAUAGGCCUUCUGCAAGUUAUCUACAUUGGAAAUGAAAUGGUAGCUAACACAAUAGCUCUAUUUUAAAUGUAUUAUUACUUCAUUUUAUCAGUGGUAGUAGUGGUGCCAAAAGAUUGCCUCAAAUUAUAGUGGCAUUAAAUUAAGAUGCAAAAACAAUAUCAUUAUUGCUUUCUCAUAGCAGCGCGAAAACAGUAGCACAAGAUCACUAGCUAGAUGUGUUGGAAAUAUGCCCUAGAGGCAAUAAUAAAAGGUUAUUAUUAUAUUUCUU